rnacentral:lncRNA from 12 species
CUCAGCCAAAGUAAUACGCUAGAAAAUCAGAGAGCUUUUUAGUGUAAGCUGAAUAUACAGAUACUGAAUCAGGUUGUAGGUGAAGCAGGGAAAAUUCAUCCUGUGCAGCUGGGGAGCUGACAUAUUUGUCAAAUCACGUCUUUGCCUUUCCCUCCCAAAAUGAUAAUGUAUCCUGAGAACAUCUGCAGUUGAGAGCGAGAAUAUAUGCUGAGGAACACUAACGAAAGGACUGCAGUCAUUUAUGAACAGUUACAGAAAUGUAAAAGCUUGGAGAUGCAUGCAGUCAGUCUGAAGUCUGACAAACUACUUAAAAACUGGAUGGAAGCUGAGAAAACUGAAACCCAGGAGGAAGAGUCUAAUACUGCAUCAUUUCAUAGACAGCUGAAAGAAUGAAGCCUGGUCUAGAGAUCAGUGUCCCUGAAGAUUUCCUCAUACUUGAGUUAUUUAAAAGUGACCUCCCUUUUACAGAUUUUCUGGUGUUUUAACAAUCUCUGAGGCUUCUUGGCUGGAACACUUUGGAAAUAAUGUCUUCCUCCCCUAGGUACCCACUUAUCUCCCUUCUUGCAACUUGAAGGAACUGCUGUAUAUCUG